rnacentral:rRNA from 1 species
CCUACGGGGGGCUGCAGUCGGGAAUUUUGGGCAAUGGGGGCAACCCUGACCCAGCAACGCCGCGUGAGCGAUGAAGGCCUUCGGGUCGUAAAGCUCUGUCGGGAGGGAAGAAGGCUCUCGGGGUGAAUAAUCCCGGGGGAUUGACGGUACCUCCAAAGGAAGCGCCGGCUAACUCCGUGCCCGCAGCCGCGGUAAUACGGGGGGCGCAAGCGUUGUUCGGCAUCACUGGGCGUAAGGCGCGUGUAGGCGGGGCCUAAGCCCGGAACUGCACUCGAAACUGCCUCGCUAGAGUCUCGGAGAGGGUGGUGGAAGUCCCGGUGUAGUGGUGAAAUACGUAGAUAUCGGGAGGAACACGAGCGGCGAAGGCGGCCACCUGGACGAUGACUGACGCUGAGACGCGAAAGCGUGGGGAGCAAACAGGAUUAGAUACCCUAGUAGUC